UACGUAGGGGGCUAGCGUUGUCCGGAAUCAUUGGGCGUAAAGCGCGUGUAGGCGGCCCGGUAAGUCCGCUGUGAAAGUCGGGGGCUCAACCCUCGAAUGCCGGUGGAUACUGUCGGGCUAGAGUGCGGAAGAGGCGAGUGGAAUUCCUGGUGUAGCGGUGAAAUGCGCAGAUAUCAGGAGGAACACCGAUGGCGAAGGCAGCUCGCUGGGACGGUACUGACGCUGAGGCGCGAAAGCGUGGGGAGCAAACAGG
rnacentral:rRNA from 1 species